rnacentral:rRNA from 1 species
UACGAAGGGGGCUAGCGUUGCUCGGAAUCACUGGGCGUAAAGCGCACGUAGGCGGUUCUUUAAGUCAGGGGUGAAAUCCUGGAGCUCAACUCCAGAACUGCCUUUGAUACUGGGGAUCUCGAGUCCGGAAGAGGUGAGUGGAACUGCGAGUGUAGAGGUGAAAUUCGUAGAUAUUCGCAAGAACACCAGUGGCGAAGGCGGCUCACUGGCCCGAUACUGACGCUGAGGUGCGAAAGCGUGGGGAGCAAACAGG